rnacentral:rRNA from 1 species
CAGUAGCCACGGGAAUACGUAGGUGGCAAGCGUUGUCCGGAAUUAUUGGGCGUAAAGCGCGCGCAGGUGGUUUAAUAAGUCUGAUGUGAAAGCCCACGGCUCAACCGUGGAGGGUCAUUGGAAACUGUUAAACUUGGGUGCAGGAGAGAAAAGUGGAAUUCCUAGUGUAGCGGUGAAAUGCGUAGAGAUUAGGAGGAACACCAGUGGCGAAGGCGGCUUUUUGGCCUGUAACUGACUCUGAGGCGCGAAAGCGUGGGGAGCAAACAGGAUUAGAUACCCCCGUAGUCCCUGUCUCUUAUAC